rnacentral:rRNA from 1 species
GACGUAGGGCGCGAGCGUUGUCCGGAUUUAUUGGGCGUAAAGAGCUCGUAGGCGGCUUGUCGCGUCGUCCGUGAAAACCAGGGGCUCAACCCCUGGCUUGCGGUCGAUACGGGCAGGCUAGAGUUCGGUAGGGGAGACUGGAAUUCCUGGUGUAGCGGUGAAAUGCGCAGAUAUCAGGAGGAACACCGGUGGCGAAGGCGGGUCUCUGGGCCGUAACUGACGCUGAGGAGCGAAAGCGUGGGGAGCAAACAGG